rnacentral:rRNA from 2 species
CCAGACAGCCAGGAUGUUGGCUUAGAAGCAGCCAUCAUUUAAAGAAAGCGUAAUAGCUCACUGGUCGAGUCGGCCUGCGCGGAAGAUGUAACGGGGCUAAACCAUGCACCGAAGCUGCGGCAGCGACGCUUAUGCGUUGUUGGGUAGGGGAGCGUUCUGUAAGCCUGCGAAGGUGGCCUGUGAGGGUUGCUGGAGGUAUCAGAAGUGCGAAUGCUGACAUAAGUAACGAUAAAGCGGGUGAAAAGCCCGCUCGCCGGAAGACCAA